rnacentral:rRNA from 1 species
AGAGUUUGAUCAUGGCUCAGAAUCAACGCUGGCGGCGUGCCUCAGACAUGCAAGUCGAACGCGAAAGCUUCCUUCGGGGAGCAAGUAGAGUGGCGCACGGGUGAGUAACACGUAGGUAAUCUACCUUCGGAUGGGGAAUAACAACCGGAAACGGUUGCUAAUACCGCAUAAUGCAGCGGCACCUAAUGGUGACAGUUGUUAAAGCGGGGGAUCGCAAGACCUCGCGUCUGAAGAGGAGCCUGCGGCGGAUUAGCUAGUUGGUAAGGUAACGGCUUACCAAGGCGACGAUCCGUAGCCGGCCUGAGAGGGCGGUCGGCCACACUGACACUGACAUACGGGUCAGACUCCUACGGGAGGCAGCAGUCGGGAAUUUUGGGCAAUGGGCGAAAGCCUGACCCAGCAACGCCGCGUGAAGGAUGAAAUCCUUCGGGAUGUAAACUUCGCAAGAACGGGAAGAAUAAGUGAGAGCCAACACCUCUCACGAUGACGGUACUGUUUGUAAGCUCCGGCUAACUCCGUGCCAGCAGCCGCGGUAAUACGGGGGGAGCAAGCGUUGUUCGGAUUUACUGGGCGUAAAGGGCGCGUAGGCGGCCACUGCAAGUCAGUUGUGAAAUCUCCGGGCUUAACUCGGAAAGGUCAACUGAUACUGCAGGGCUAGAGUGCGGAAGGGGCAACUGGAAUUCUCGGUGUAGCGGUGAAAUGCGUAGAUAUCGAGAGGAACACCUGCGGCGAAAGGCGGGUUGCUGGGCCGACACUGACGCUGAUGCGCGAAAGCUAGGGGAGCGAACGGGAUUAGAUACCCCGGUAGUCCUAGCCUUAAACGAUGGAUGCUUGGUGUCUGGGGUUUUAUAGUCCCCGGGUGCCGUCGCUAACGCUUUAAGCAUCCCGCCUGGGGGAGUACGGUCGCAAGACUGAAACUCAAAGGAAUUGA